rnacentral:rRNA from 1 species
CACGUAGGGUGCGAGCGUUGUCCGGAAUUAUUGGGCGUAAAGAGCUCGUAGGCGGUGUGUCGCGUCGGCCGUGAAAACCUGCAGCUUAACUGUGGGCUUGCGGUCGAUACGGGCAUCACUGGAGUUCGGCAGGGGAGACUGGAAUUCCUGGUGUAGCGGUGAAAUGCGCAGAUAUCUGGAGGAACACCGGUGGCGAAGGCGGCAUCCUGGACCGGUAUUGACGCUGAGGCGCGAAAGCUAGGGGAGCAAACGGG